GUCGAGUUGUUUGGGAAUGCUGCUCAAAAUGGGAGGUAAACCCCUUCUAAAGCUAAAUAUUGGCCAGAGACCGAUAGCGCACAAGUAGAGUGAUCGAAAGAUGAAAAGCACUUUGAAAAGAGAGUUAAACAGCACGUGAAAUUGUUGAAAGGGAAGCGCUUGCGACCAGACUUGUGCUCGUCGAAUCAGCCGUCGCUCGUCGGCGGCGCAUUUCGGCGGGCUCAGGCCAGCAUCAGUUCGCUGUAGGGGGAGAAAGGCGGUAGGAAUGUGGCUCUUCGGAGUGUUAUAGCCUACCGUAUAAUACCCCUCGGUGGACUGAGGACCGCGCAUCUGCAAGGAUGCUGGCGUAAUGGUUGUCAGCGACCCGUCUUGAA
rnacentral:rRNA from 1 species